rnacentral:rRNA from 1 species
GACGAACGCUGGCGGCGUGCUUAACACAUGCAAGUCGAACGGAAAGGCCUGCUUUCCCUUGUGGAUUGCGGGUACUCGAGUGGCGAACGGGUGAGUAACACGUGAGUGAUCUGCCCCCAACUUGGGUAUAAGCCUGGGAAACUGGGUCUAAUUCCCGAUAGGACUGCAGGGUGGUGCCUGUGGUGGAAAACGAUUUUCUAGUGGUUGGGGAUGAGCUCGCGGCCUAUCAGCUUGUUGGUGGGGUAAUGGCCUACCAAGGCGGCGACGGGGAGCCGGCCUGGGGGGGUGGACGGCCACAUUGGGACUGAGAUACGGCCCAGACUCCUACGGGAGGCAGCAGUGGGGAAUAUUGCACAAUGGGCGGAAGCCUGAUGCAGCGACGCCGCGUGGGGGAUGACGGCCUUCGGGUUGUAAACUCCUUUCGACCGCGAGGAAGCCACCUGGUUGGAAGGGUGGUGACGGUAGUGGUAGAAGAAGCACCGGCUAACUACGUG